rnacentral:rRNA from 1 species
CGGAGGGUGCAAGCGUUAUCCGGAUUCACUGGGUUUAAAGGGUGCGUAGGAGGGCAGGUAGGUCAGUGGUGAAAUCUCCAAGCUUAACUUGGAAACUGCCGUUGAUACUAUCUGUCUUGAAUAUUGUGGAGGUGAGCGGAAUAUGUCAUGUAGCGGUGAAAUGCUUAGAUAUGACAUAGAACACCAAUUGCGAAGGCAGCUCGCUACUCAAUUAUUGACUCUGAGGCACGAAAGCGUGGGGAUCAAACAGGAUUAGAUACCCUGGUAGUCCACGCUGUAAACGAUGAGUGCUAGACGUCAUGGGUAUUGACCCCUGUGGUGUCGAAGUUAACACGUUAAGCACUCCGCCUGGGGAGUACGGUCGCAAGAUUA